rnacentral:ncRNA from 2 species
UAAAGAGAUUGUCUCCGAACCGUCCCGCCUAACAGGUUAACCUCACGGCGGUCGGUCUAUGGGUGCGGUUGGAAACGACCCUGCCUCCCGGAUUGGAAAGGGGAUUCUGUUAAAACCAG